GGUUAAUUGUGCAUUUUAAUAACAGACUCCCAGAGCCAGGGUUUCUUUCUGUUUCAAUAACAGGAUUGCGUGGCCUGUGUUUUCAGGAAACAUGAGGUGGUGGGGGGCCUCCCCUGCCGCUCUCUGCGGUUCAGCUGGGCUUCUCCUCCUCAGGCUGGGAUGGGCCCCGUGUCUGGAUUGGAGGGGCUCAUCCUGAGUACAGUGUUCAGUCCCCCACAGAGAUAUCGAGACCGGGGUUCGGGCUUCCGGAAACGUGGGCCGCCCCUGCUGAGGGCUGGUGCGUGCACAGAUGGAAUUGCUGUCCUCCGGGGCCAUUGCCCAGUCCAGAGCCACCCCCUCUGGCCGAGAGAUCCCAUUGAAAAGCAGCAGCCGAUGUUGGAGGAAACAGUUUGAUAAUCCAAGUCCUGUGAGCCACCGGCUGUGUCACUCGGGAGCGUGUCCCUCUGACAUCACCUACAAUCUCUCCAAAACUUUUAAAAAUCUAUUAAAAGCCGGUUUUCAAGACAUUUUUACCAUGAAAUACACCGAGAUGCGAGGUGCACGAUACAGCUUGUACAGUCACCUUAGAAAGGGGAGGACAUGUUGUUCCUGUGCUAAUUGGAACCUCUCUUCCGCAAAGAAAAACGUUGGCAAUCUUUAGAAAUUAACAGAUUCAGAGGGUUGGCUGGGAAAUAGAAAACUGUUAUCAGAACAACUUUUUAAUCUACACAACACAACAUCUGGGGGAUGAUUCUUAAAAAUUAUGAGUUUCUCUCUUUAAAAGUUUAUAAUCGCACUAAGUUU